rnacentral:ncRNA from 1 species
AGAUUUAGGUGUUCUUUUAAUUGCAAAAGAACUUAAAAGGGAAGUUCGGUGGAAGACCGACGCUGUCCCGCAACUGUAAAUGUGAGCAAUACUUUAUAAACCACUGUAUGUAUAAAUACUACGGGAAGGAAGGUAACGCGAUGACCAUGAGCCAGGAGACCUGCCUAUUUC